rnacentral:rRNA from 5 species
UUAAAUUGAAGAGUUUGAUCAUGGCUCAGAUUGAACGCUGGCGGCAGGCCUAACACAUGCAAGUCGAACGGUAGCA